rnacentral:lncRNA from 1 species
AUCAGCUCUCAGGUCUGAUACCAGACGGUUCCCAGGAUGAAGGGGACCUGGGGCAGGGAAGAAUGAAGCUGAGACGCAGAGUAUCGCUUUGGUGCCUCUGUCUGCUUUGUACCUACAGCCUUCUCUAAGGAUAGGUCUCAACUGUGAUCCAAACUCAUUAAGAACCAGGAGGCAGAAUGGCAUCCCAGUUGCACGUGUCAAGGAGCUCUGCAGGUAAAACAGAACCAGGAGCCAGAAUAACAUACCAGUUGCACUCGUCAAGGAGCUCUGCAGAACCAGGAGCCAGAAUAACAUCCCAGUUGCACACAUCAAGGAGCUCUGCAGAACCAGGAGGCAGAAUAUCAUCCCAGUUGCAAACAUCAAGGAGUUCUGGAGAUGAAGCAAAAGAUGCUGAACUCAAAAAGGAAAGACCCUACAAGAUCUUUUUCAAAGAUCUCUUCCUUUUCAAAGAAAAUGAAAUUGCUGCAAGGAAAAGGGUAAG